AGAGUUUGAUCCUGGCUCAGGAUGAACGCUAGCGGCAGGCUUAAUACAUGCAAGUCGAGGGGCAGCAUGAGUGUAGCAAUACACUUGAUGGCGACCGGCAAACGGGUGCGGAACACGUACAGAACCUUCCUUCGAGCGGGGAAUAGCCCAGAGAAAUUUGGAUUAAUACCCCAUAGUAUUACGGAGUGGCAUCACUUUGUAAUUAAAGAUUUAUCACUUGAAGAUGGCUGUGCGGCUGAUUAGGUAGUUGGCGGGGUAACGGCCCACCAAGCCUGCGAUCAGUAACUGGUGUGAGAGCACGACCAGUCACACGGGCACUGAGACACGGGCCCGACUCCUACGGGAGGCAGCAGUAAGGAAUAUUGGUCAAUGGACGAAAGUCUGAACCAGCCAUGCCGCGUGGAGGAUGAAGGUCCUCUGGAUUGUAAACUUCUUUUAUCUGGGACGAAAAAAGGCUUUUCUAAGUCGUCUGACGGUACCAGAUGAAUAAGCACCGGCUAACUCCGUGCCAGCAGCCGCGGUAAUACGGAGGGUGCAAGCGUUAUCCGGAUUCACUGGGUUUAAAGGGUGCGUAGGUGGGUUGGUAAGUCAGUGGUGAAAUCCCCAAGCUUAACUUGGGAACUGCCAUUGAUACUAUCAGUCUUGAAUACCGUGGAGGUCAGCGGAAUAUGUCAUGUAGCGGUGAAAUGCUUAGAUAUGACAUAGAACACCAAUUGCGAAGGCAGCUGGCUACACGAAUAUUGACACUGAGGCACGAAAGCGUGGGGAUCAAACAGGAUUAGAUACCCUGGUAGUCCACGCCCUAAACUAUGGAUACUCGACAUUUGCGAUACACUGCAAGUGUCUGAGCGAAAGCAUUAAGUAUCCCACCUGGGAAGUACGAUCGCAAGAUUGAAACUCAAAGGAAUUGACGG
rnacentral:rRNA from 1 species